rnacentral:misc_RNA from 1 species
UUUUUUGGCCUUCUUUGUUUCUGAUUUUUAUCAGCCUCAGCCAUCUCUGCCUCUGUUGGCCAUGUCUGUUCUCCUGCAAGAGGAUCCGGAACAUUCUCUACAAGCAAGGGCUCCUGAGUCAAAGAAUCAGGAUGCACAGAACGAACAACCUCCACAUCAAGCAAAUCAUCCGAAUCCAUUGCAUCUGGUUCUUUUCUUGGAUUCAAAGGAAAUGGAUCCUUUAAAAUUUCUAUCUUAUGCAGUUGAAAAUCCCCCGCACCAGAAACGUGAACCAGCUGAUUCACUGAGAGGCUCCGGCCAUGAACAUAACCAGUGAGGAUAAGGGUACAUUUUACUGAAUUCACAUCAUCUGCUACCAUAUCAACCUUUUGGGACAUGAGGUAAGGCCGUUGAUUUCUCCAGUGAGGCAAUGUUAGCCUUUGCUCCUUAAAUAGCCACAAGAACUUGUGCAACUCAUCUUUUGUAUCUGCUGGAUAGAACUUGCAAUCCUCGGGAAAUUCACUAGCAAGUCUGGAAGUGCACAUCUUCUUUGAGUCAUUUCUUCUUUUCAGCUCAAUAGGUAGAUCACGAAUGAAGACAACAGUGCUUGGCAAACCAAGAGACCUAAACACAGACAAGCAUUGACUUCCAAAUGAAUCAAUGUAGUCAGAAUCACUUUCUUCACUGGCUGAUGCCACAAAAGCAAUCAGAUCAGCAACCUUGGCCAUUUCCAUACAAGAUAACAAAUCCCCAUGUGGUGCUUUCAAUACAGUUGCUCUCAAUUUGUACUCAAAGGAUGCAACUGUUGAAGACACAGCUCCACCGCCUUCAGGAGAUAAUAAUUUCAGAAGAUCUUCAGCAAGUGAAUCUAGGUUUACGGAGGCAGAAAGGCCAAACAGAACUAUUACACGGGGAGGACUUGAUGAUCCACUAGAAGCCCUUUUCUCUUUCAAGAGCGCGGCCCGUUUCUGCUCCCGCAACAUCUUGUUACGCUGAAUUCGAACAGCUCGAGCUCCCUUGGCGACAUUGCGCUCCGAUUUCGCAAUCCUACUCUUGUCUUUCAGAGAUGUUUUGUGAAGGUUCCGAGACGAUUUCGAUGAGAAACGGGUCUUGUGAGCUUUAUUGACUUGAACUCGUGAUCCUCCCAUAGCUACUGAGACGAUCUUAUGCAACCAGCUAGCUAGUGAAACCCUAGAAACUCAUCUGAAGACGAGCUUUCCACUCCUGCAAAACCCUACUGUGUUUCCGCAGCGAAGUUGCGGCAAGGGUUUGAAGAAGUU